rnacentral:rRNA from 1 species
GGGGGUUACGCGGGGAAGUGAAACAUCUCAGUACCCGUAGGAAGAGAAAAUAAUAAUGAUUCUGCUAGUAGUGGCGAACGAACGUGGAUGAGGCUAAACCGUGUGCAUGUGAUACCUGGUAGGGGUUGUGUGUGCGGUGUUGUGGGCCCUGAUGAGGAUGGCUACUGACGUCCUGCCCGCGCAUUGUUGUUAGGUGAAGUGGUGUGGAAACGCCUGCCGUAGAAGGUGAUAGUCCUGUAGCUGAAGAUGAUGGUGUGUGGGUUGUUGGGUUGCCCGAGUAGCAGCGGGCUCGUGGAAUCUGCUGUGAAUCUGCCGGGACCACCCGGUAAGCCUAAAUACUCAGUGUGACCGAUAGUGGAUAGUACCGUGAGGGAAUGGUGAAAAGUACCCCGGGAGGGGAGUGAAAUAGUUCCUGAAACCAUGUGCUUACAAUCCGUCAGAGCACUUUUUGUGUGUGAUGGCGUGCCUUUUGAAGAAUGAGCCUGCGAGUCAGCGGCAUGUCGCGAGGUUAACCCGUGUGGGGUAGCCGUAGGGA